UUUCCAGACUCCUACGGGAGGCAGCAGUGAGGAAUAUUGGUCAAUGGACGAGAGUCUGAACCAGCCAAGUAGCGUGAAGGAUGACUGCCCUAUGGGUUGUAAACUUCUUUUAUAAAGGAAUAAAACGAGGCACGUGUGCCUUUUUGCAUGUACUUUAUGAAUAAGGAUCGGCUAACUCCGUGCCAGCAGCCGCGGUAAUACGGAGGAUGCGAGCGUUAUCCGGAUUUAUUGGGUUUAAAGGGUGCGUAGGCGGAAUGCCAAGUCAGCGGUAAAAUCGCGGGGCUCAACCUCGCUCCGCCGUUGAAACUGCAUCCCUUGAGUGCGCGAGAAGUAUGCGGAAUGCGUGGUGUAGCGGUGAAAUGCAUAGAUAUCACGCAGAACUCCGAUUGCGAAGGCAGCAUACCGGCGCGCAACUGACGCUCAUGCACGAAAGCGUGGGUAUCGAACGGGAUUAGAUACCCUUGUA
rnacentral:rRNA from 1 species